rnacentral:rRNA from 1 species
GUGGGGAAUCUUGCGCAAUGGGCGAAAGCCUGACGCAGCCAUGCCGCGUGGAUGAUGAAGGUCUUAGGAUUGUAAAAUCCUUUCACCGGUGAAGAUAAUGACUGUAGCCGGAGAAGAAGCCCCGGCUAACUUCGUGCCAGCAGCCGCGGUAAUACGAAGGGGGCUAGCGUUGCUCGGAUUUACUGGGCGUAAAGGGCGCGUAGGCGGACAUUUAAGUCAGGGGUGAAAUCCCGGGGCUCAACCUCGGAACUGCCUUUGAUACUGGGUGUCUUGAGUAUGAGAGAGGUGUGUGGAACUCCGAGUGUAGAGGUGAAAUUCGUAGAUAUUCGGAAGAACACCAGUGGCGAAGGCGACUCACUGGCUCAUUACUGACGCUGAGGCUCGAAAGCGUGGGGAGCAAACAGGAUUAGAUACCCCGGUAGUCC